GCAAAUUUGACUCUUCAAAAAGGCGGAGUUCAAAGUUACCAGACGAUGAUGACAUGGCGAUGAAAAAGUUUUUAAGUGUUUGUUUGGUGUUUGUUUCAUGUCAUUCCAUGUUUACUGAUGUGGAAUUGAUGUGCGAUGUUGUUAAUGUUGAAAACGAAGAUGGCAGAAUGCAAACCCUUGAGAUGAAGCGGCUUGAAAACAAUAAAAAACAAACGUGUCCGACCUGCCACCACCGAACUUUGAUGGACAUUCCCAACUUUGCAGCUCUUCGGACGAAUCUUUUGCUGCAUAUAUCUGACAAAGAGUUGACGCCUGAAUGUGAGGCCCACAGAGAUGAUCUGCCAACUGGGUUGUGCACCUUUAACUCUGACCUCACCAUCUGCAUACAGAAUGAAGAAGAUGGCUGUGUCAAAAUCUCAGAGGACUUUGGGGAGACCAUUGUCAAUAAGCAGAUGCUUCCGUUUGCUACAGGGGAUGAAAGCAUUGACAAAACAUUAGGGUUGGGCUUAGUUCUUCUGAAUUCCCAGAAUUUAGAAGCAGCCAUCAACACAUAUGAUUCAGUAAUUGCCUUACGACCAAACUCAUACACUGCAUACUUCAUGAGGGGUCUAGCUUAUGCAAGGAAGGGACUACAAGACCCUAUAAAUGCUGGCAAAGCCAUUGAAGACUUUACAGAAGUAAUACAACGAAAUAAAAAGUUUAUUCAGGCUUACGAACGGCGGGCAGAGGCAUAUAUUGCAUUGGGCAAUCCAAGUUUAGCAGUAAUUGAUAUUUCAAAAGCCAUUGACCUUAAGGAAUCUGGAAAGCUGCAUUUUGCGCGAGGAGUUUUGUACCUUCUAUUGCAAGAUUAUGCUGCAGCUGAGGUUGACUUCAAGAAGAACAUAGACUCUGGUGCGGACAAGGUACAGAACUUGUUCUACCUGGGUCUCACACACUACUACAAGGGGAGGGUGCGCAAUGCCAUCGAAGUGUUCAAGGAGGUGCUUAACAAAGAUCCAGAUCACCUGGAGGCUUGCACCAGUCUUGCUCAGGCUUUCAGGGAGGUGGGAAAUGUGCGUAUGGCAAGAAGCAAGUUCAACCAGUCUCUGGCGCUGAAUCCUCGACACACGAUGACCCUUCAGCUCCGGGGAGACCUCUUCUAUCACAGCGGCGAGCCUGCGCUUGCACUCACAGACUUUAAAAAAUGUGCAGAGGAGGAUCCAGAUAACUACAACUGCGAGUACAUGCAGUCACUAGCUUACACCUCGGUUGGAAACUUCUUUCAAGGAGUUAAAUCAGCAACAAAAGUAAUGGUUCAAAGUACACCAGUUGUAAAAGCAAGUCCUGAAUUCCUACGAUCACACUACCUGAGAGAGUAUGCGAGAUACCUUCAUUCCAAUCUGGAGCUGCCUUUGGAGUCACUAGACAUUGAUUCAGCCUUCCCAGAUGAAUACAAGGACCACUGGCUGCAAAACCUGCCUUUUGAUGUACUUGGUUAUAAAGAACAGCCCGGAAUACAGCCACAUAUCAAGGAUGUUGGUGUACUCAACCUGGGCGAUUAUUCAAGGGCUGUUCAGAACCUCAUCUGUAAGGCCCACAAGAUUGGCUGGCUGAUGCAGGUCAACACAGAUGGGUAUACGCCCAAUAAACGCCUUAACCUGGCCAUGGGGCUGGCUUCUGUACAUGUUGCUCAACUUUUUGAGGCAAAGUGGCGAAGUCUAAGACUCAAUCAACAGAUUGUUAAUAACAAACACACCUGUCAAAAACAUGAUGACCAUGGUACAGGUCAUCAGCUGACCUGGCGUGAUGUGUUCAACCUGGCUGUGAGGUAUCGACGUAUGGUGGACCCAGAACAGCCCGUCCUUUGGCUCGAUAAGAUAGGAGAGCAGUCUAGCAAGAACAGCUAUAAAACCACUAUAACACUCAUCAAGGGUUCUGUGAAUAACAUCAAAACGAUGCCGUAUUACAACCUAGUGUUCAAACUUGUAAAGACCAUGCUGGAACAUUAUUCCGUGUCAAGUGAAACUCUGAAAUCAAAGCAGACCAGUAUCAAAGAGGACAUUGAGAAUUCCAAGACUUGUGAAGACUUGUUAACCAUCAGCAAGAAGUAUCAGCCAGACCAGAAUGGUUUCGUGGUGUCCACCCAAGUCCCCAGCACCCGUAAACGGUCUGAGAAGGACAGACUUGAUGGAGCCAUGCUUGUGCUCACUGAGGAUAUAUCCAAGCAGAUAAUGUUCACAAUAGACGUAGCCAGCACGCACACGCGGGCAGCAGAUUACCACGCAGAACUUUCCUACAUUUACAAUCAGCUUCAAGACGAGAUAAGAAGGACCGGCUCUAGUAAAGUCUCUGAGAUGGAUCCUGUUAUCAACAUCAUCCUUUCUCUCUCCUACUACUUCUAUAACCUCAUGCCUCUCUCCAGGGGAUCCAGUGUUGUGGCAUAUUCAGUGGCGCUGGGCCUCAUCAUGUCUCUGGGUCGACAGGUCACGGGCAAGAUACCUACCAGCAAGCUUCUUGAGAUGGAGGCAAUGUUGUCUGGAGCCCCUGAUGCCUUCAUAUUGGUCACUAAACAGUGGAUGAACAUCAAGAGGUAUGCCUUUAUAUUGGUCACUAAACAGUGGAUGAACAUCAAGAGGUAUGCCUUCAUAUUGGUCACUAAACAGUGGAUGAACAUAAAGAGGUAUGUCUUUAUAUUGGUCACUAAGUAGUGGAUGAACAUCAAGAGGUAAGCCUUUAUAUUGGUCACUAAACAGUAGAUGAACAUCAAGAGGUAAGCCUUUAUAUUGGUCACUAAACAGUGGAUGAACAUCAAGAGACUGACCUCACCAAUGUCCGGACUGCCCUUGGUGUGGGAGACAUUCCCCACAGUCCGCAGCGUGUUGGAAGUCCUCAAUGUGGACACAGACUCAUGCGCAUAAGCAGCACGGACUCUACACACAAUCUCAGUACAGACCGUGCACAUCAUCUCAUGGAUUGCUCAGUUGUUGUUGUCCAGUUCUUAUUGUUAAAUCUUAACACUUGAUAUUUUUUAAACUAAUUUUCUAAGUGACAUCUUCAUGUGUUUGUAAUUGUUAACAAUUAUUUUUAUGCCCCCAGUAGGGUGGCAUAUAGCAGUUGAACUGUCAGUCCUUCUGUCUGUCUGUCUGUGUGUCCGUCCCAAAACUUUAACAUUGGCCAUAACUUUUGCAAUGUUGAAGAUAGCAACUUGAUAUUUGGCAUGCAUGUGUAUAUCACAAAGCUGCACAUUUUGAGUGGUGAAAGAUCAAGGUCAUUCUUCUAGGUGAAAGGUAAAAAAAUACAUUCCAAGGGAAGUAAUAAGCUUUAAAAGGGAGAUAAUUUCUAAACCUGCCAAAUGAUAUAUUGAAAUUUAUUUCAAAGCGGCACAAUAGGGGGCAUUGUGUUUCUGACAAGCACAUCUCUUGUUUGUCCAUUUCUGAUAGUAAAAACUUGAUAUGUUAAAUUUAAAACUGAUCAGAGGCCAAUCAUGUUACUGUAUGCAAUCAGAGAUACUUGUAAAAUUAGCUGGCUUAUUUUGUAUUAUGAACAUUUUACAAUCAGCUAUGCUCAAAUAUAAUUAUACAUAUAUAUAAUAUCAAUAUUAAUAAAAAUAUUAUACAUGUAAAAAUUAUGCCAAACCAAGAUUUUUUAAUUGCUUUGUAAUAAAACUACAUACAUAAAAAUAUCUUUAAAAAUGCAUGAAACACCCAACAAUUCGAUUUAAGGUAAAUGCCAAGACAAAAGGCAACAUUAAUUAUUAAAGGUCACUUUCUCAUUCGAACAAUUUUAUGUUCCCAAACAUUUAAUAAGAUAGUCAGACCUCUUGCCAAGGUGUUAUUGAUACCCAUUGAAUUCAAAAAUCUGUUUAAAAAAAAAAUAUCUAGUCUUGUGCAUUCUUAUUUGUGUAGUUUUUGUUAAGUGUUAAUGUGUACAAAUACUAAAAAAUGUCUGUGCAUUAUUUACGAAUAAGUAAAAUCUCAGGAUAUAAAAUGUGUAACAUUCAUUAUUGAUAUAUAUUUGUUAUUGAUCCUCACAGUAAAACCCAUGUAUUUAUGUUUGACUUUGUUGCAGUGGUAGUCAGUAGUAACCAUACCAGUAAUAUGGUAUUUCCCUGGGUAUUCCGGUGUCCCCUCACAGCACACGACCACCCCCAAUCAAAUAUCUUUCAGUAUAAUAAAAAGCUGAAAAUUGCAGCUUUGAUUCAUACUUUGUCCUAGCUUGUGUGAGUCUAGUAAGUUAAGUGCUGGGACACACUCCGGCUCCUUACUUAACCUUUUACCUCUUAAAUACGUAUUUUGACACAUUUGUAGCCCCUCAUAAACUUAAAUUUAAUUGAAGACCUUUCUUACUAGAUUCAAGUUUUAAAGGCUUCAUUUCCAAGCAUUAUAUACUAAUGAGCAGCAAACAGCAUAAAACCUGAACAGGCUGCGAGUUACUUGCAGGCUGUUCUGGUUUUAUGCUGUUUGCACAUAGCCAUUUUUACGUUGCUUCUGAGUUGGAAAGGCUUAAUGCAGCCUUAGGCGUGGAAGGACCUUAUAAAGUUUGAAAUACACACACAUACAAGGUGGAAGUUUUUAUGAUCGACUGUUCACACUAUGUUUAUGCUUUGAGGUGUUGUUAUACUAUGUUUUCUGUAUAAACUCCACCAGUUAAUGAGUGCUGUUAUGACGCCAAAAGUACACUAAUCGCUCAGAUGCCUUUAAAGAUGUUAACUGUUGUUGUAUACCGCAGUAACUUUACUAUGGUUGCUGUCAUAAAUGUGAUUUCACGAUUUUUAAGUAACAGUUUCGUAUGUAUUUAGCUUGUGUGUACCUAUAAUGUUCUUAUGAUCCAAAAUAUGUUAUAGAAUCCAUUAUGGUGCAAAGCUUACACUCAUUCGUGUUUUUGAUGUUUCUUUAUCGUUGUUACCAGAAUUGCCAACAAUGCAAUACUUGAAAAGUUUUUAAAAUUAUGUUAAGGAAUGCGCACUUUGUCAAUACUAUCUAUGCAACAUUUUAUACUUUGUUACACAGUAUGAAAGCAAAAUAAAUAUGCAAGAAUGA